rnacentral:tRNA from 1 species
UAUGGCAGAUUAUAUGUAAUGGAUUUAACCCCCAUGUA